UUAGCUCAUGUUUGUAUGGAAUGGGAUCGUUUGCGUACGUUUGCCGCUAGGGGCGCUGUUCCAACUGCAUACAAAAAUGGCUUA
rnacentral:pre_miRNA from 1 species